rfam:Picea glauca, whole genome shotgun sequence.
GCGGACGUAGCCAAGUGGACCAAGGCCGUGGAUUGUGAAUCCACCACAUGCGGGUUCAAUUCCCGUCGUUCGCC